GACGAACGCUGGCGGCGUGCUUAACACAUGCAAGUCGAACGGAAAGGCCCUGCUUUUGUGGGGUGCUCGAGUGGCGAACGGGUGAGUAACACGUGAGUAACCUGCCCUUGACUUUGGGAUAAUUUCAGGAAAUUGGGGCAAUUACGGAAAGGAGGCUCCGCCGCAUUGGGGGGGGUGGGAAAGUUCGGCGGUUGGGGAUGGACUCGCGGCUUAUCAGCUUGUUGGUGGGGGAGUGGCUUACCAAGGCUUUGACGGGUAGCCGGCCUGAGAGGGUGACCGGCCACAUUGGGACUGAGAUACGGCCCAGACUCCUACGGGAGGCAGCAGUGGGGAAUAUUGCACAAUGGGCGGAAGCCUGAUGCAGCAACGCCGCGUGCGGGAUGACGGCCUUCGGGUUGUAAACCGCUUUCGCCUGUGACGAAGCGUGAGUGACGGUAAUGGGUAAAGAAGCACCGGCUAACUACGUG
rnacentral:rRNA from 1 species